GCUAUUUAUUAAAUGUGCUUAUAUGUGCUACUUCAAAUCACCCAAUCCAAGGCUCUUAGUCGCUUAAUCCUUGUCAUUUUUACUGUGCUUUUUUGCUUUCAUAAAUUGAAUAACAAUUCCUGAAAUUUAAAGUGAUAUUUUUGACAGGAAAUUGAGGUUUUUGCUGAAUUUUUCGCAGUUUCACAUUUGCUCCACUACGAUAACCACAGUUUGUUGGAGCCUUGGAGAUGAGACAACAUACGUUCUUUCCUUAGGAUUGGAAAUAUUUGUUGGUGUUGAUGAGACACCAGACCUAUGAGAAUGAGGCUCUACCAUUGAUAUUUGAUAUAUCAAAUAAGGCUAUUGCAGGUACUCCCACAAGAUUUACUUUGCUUUAUGAUCAUCCUUUUGUUGGUGAGCUUGUGGUUAAUAAUAUUAUGUUAAUAAAUAAUUACUUAUUUAGUACUCCCUCUGUUCCAAUUUAUGUGAACCUAUUUCCUUUUUGGUCCGUUCCAAAAAGAAUGACCCCUUUAUGAAUUUGGUAACAAUUUAGCUUAAACUUACAAUUCUACCUUAAUGAGAAGCUUUUAUAACCGCAUAAACACUCUGGGCCCCUUUUAGACUUGUUUAGGACCAUAAAUUCCAAAAGUCUUUAUUUUUUCUUAAACUCCGUGCCCAGUCAAACAGGUUCACAUAAAUUGGAACGGAGGGAGUAGUAUUUUAACUUAGAGACAAACUGCAAGAAGAUGGGUAAUGGUAACUCCACUGCACUCAUACAACAGAAAUGCAUUAGAAAAAUAGAAUGAUAAAGUCAAAUUAGACAGAAUUGAGAAAGUGAAACUAAAACAAACAGAUUGUUGCUGAGUUGUGAGUACCUAAAAGUUGCUGAGUACGCUGGUUAUCAGAUAAGAAUGCUAUAUCAAGCGUUGUUGGAUAUUAGGUUUGGGUUGUGGGUCACCCAUGUGGACCGACCCGACCCAUUUUAGAAGAGAUUUAACUUAAGGAGGUUACUAAGAGGUUUUAUUACUCCUAAAAACUACCACACGUUAUUUGAGAGAUGUGAGAAUGUGGAGUGGCGGUUUUCAUCGGUAGUUUUUCCUCUAUUCCUCUUCUAUAUAUCUGUCCUACAGAAGAUCUCUCAAGGGUGAAAAAACUUUCUCUUCUUCUCCCAACAAAACACACGUACAAAGAAGGAAGGCUUUAGUUUGUCAAAUAAACUUUGUUUCCUGGUGAUUCAAAAUUCGACUUGGGGCAGUUCUUUUGGUGGUGAGUUCAACGAUCUCCGCUGCGACAAAAAGGUACACAACUUGUUGUUCUCACUCCUCAUUUUUUCUAACAAGCGUGCACCACAGACAUUUGCAUUGUUUUGAUUGAAUCUCAUCUGGGUGUACUCCGCUCCAUCAUAUCUUCCUCUGUAUACCUCCCUACUUUCUCCUUUAGUUCUCGAUUUCUCUCCGUAGAUUCUCAUUCUGUCAAUAACAAUGCUUCUGAUGAGGCUUUCUGUAUUAUUGUAUUUUCUUUCUUCAAUUUGACUUUUUAUUACGUAACAACUGCCAUGUUGAAUGUACUUGUCCUACUUUAAUCCAAGCUUGGCCUUUCUUUUCGUUUUUAGGUGGAAUGAGGGUUGUACUGGAACUACUGCUUUUAUUCUUCUUUCGUUCUCUUGUUAUCUCUAUCAAAAUUUCUGCUGGCGUCUUCUCACUUUUGAUGGUGUAUUGCAUUUGGUAGAUGUAUGGUUUUGCAUUGAUAGUAGGGUUAACAUUUCCAGGUUAACUGACUUUUAAAUUGCUAAAGGUCAAUUUCUGUCUAUUGUGAAUUUGUGAUGUUCUGCAUGUUAAUUUUGUAAUACAAGCUUUCAACUAGCUGAGUUAGGUCUUUGACUUCUUACUUUCUGCAAUUUUAUUCAACAACAAUGUAUACACUGAUGCAGUCUUAGGGGUUGAUUAUCAUUUCAGUACUACUAUUUCAUUAGACUCAUGGGACGCGAGGUUAGUUUUAUCUCUACAAUGAUAAGGCCGAUGUUGCAGUUAGAACAUGGAGCUUCUUACAUUUUCCAAAUGUUCAUGCUUAAGAAGUGUUAACUGAUCUUGCAGGUAAUUCUUGUCUUCAUCAGAGAGCAAGACCUGUCAAAGCAUUAGCGAUAAGCUACAUUCUGAAAUAACAAACACGAUAUGGUUUAUUUUGUUACAAUGGUGUAAAAUAUAUGUACUUCAGCUGAAUAUUACACUCUUUAUGCUGACAAAUAGUAUUCAUCGAACUGAAAAAUGCUAUAAUUUGAAGUGUUUGGUGCUUGUACGGGCCGAUCCUAUCUAGUAUUAUAUAUUUCCUACUAUUUAGAAGCGAGAAUAAGGAGCUCUUCGUCGUCCUCCUUUUACGGGUAAUUACAUGUAUGCCCUUAGGUUUUCUUAUCACCCUCAGUUACUUGGGGACAUUUAUGUAAAUUUAUUCUGUUCUUGGGCGGUGGUUGAUCAGCCCUCCUUGAUCUUUUGCUCCCCCUCUCUCUCUCUUACUAUUGAUCUUUUGCUCCCUCUCUCUCUUACUAUUUGUUGCUGUGACGACGGCGACCAUGGUGUAACAGACAUCAACGGAGAUCAGCAUGCGUGGGAAUGAGUAUUAGCAUGGUGUAACUUGGCCAGAGUUAUGUCACCGAUGACUGGACAACCAUGAUAAAUAUCAGACUGUUAUCUGGAAACGACUGGAAACUCAAAAAAGAAGCGGUCGAGGCUGGUAAAUGGUGCUAUUGAACUACUAUUGUCGAUUUUGACGGUAAUUUGUUUUUUCAUACCGAAAUUAUUCAGCUUUGAGUAUCUUGUGGGGUUUCAGAUGCCAUAUUUUUUCUCUCGUUUUGAAUAUAUAAUUCGGCGUAAUUUCACAAAAAACUAAGGUAAAUUGGUGUAAUUUUACUUUUUUCAGAAAGUUAGCAUCUCUGCUUAUGAUGUGUCCUCAUUAACCAACAUGUAAUUCUCCAAAUUUCAUUUAAGGACCUUUUACGGUUAAAAGAAUGAUAAUUUCUUAAAGAGAUUUGCAAAUUUCUUUGGUUUCAAUCAUUAUUCAAAAGUACUUGCAGUGGUGCCUAUUGCAUUUGCAAUUUGAUUUGUUUCCAUAGGCUGAAAGCAGAUUGAUUGUGUUUUUCUUUUUGUGCCUGCUCUGGGAGGUCGAGAGGUGCUUCAUUAUUAUGUUUUAUCAUAGUCAUCCGACACGUGGCUAACAGUGGCGGAUCCAGAAUUUUCAUGAAGGGGUGUCAAAAUAUAAAUAAUUAGAUACAUCGAAAAGUCAAGGGGAGUCAACGUAUAGUAAAUAUACAUAAAAUAAAAAAAUUUAUCUAGCAAAAUAGUGUAAUUUUCCGGCGAAAGGGUGUCACUUGACACCCCUUGCUUCGAUGUGGCUCCGCCACUCGUGGCUAACAUCAUUAAAUAGUGUGACCAGGUGAGAUUUCUAAUUAGAAAUUUCACUAAGAUGGCCCAUAAAGUAAACGAUUUUUUCUUAGUACAUUAUCUUCACUUGUUGUUGUAUUCAUUCUCAAAUACAGAACUUCCUUCUAAUUAACACUUGGAUAACUCAUGAUAUGGUAAGAUAUCUGUUGUUUACUCUUUAUUAUGUCAUGUUGGGUAACACUUCAUUUAAAUUAUUUAGACAUAGCAGUGAUACUAAGUAUUUUGGAGACUUCAACCAGUAGUAAGAUUUUUGUUUAUACUCUCAAGUAACUGAGAUAGGCCGUAACAUCAAUCAAAUAGUAAGAUUUCAAGUUGAUAGUAGUGGUAGUGAAUAUAGUAAGGAAUAUAGAUAUCAACAGAGUGUGAAGAAAUUUCUUAGAGGGAGGAGUGAGAGACAUUUAAAAAUAACAAGUUCUGAAGUUUAAAAGUGGAGUUGAAUACCCAAUCCUUAUAAGAACUGACACCAUUUUUCUUGUGUUCUCCUUCAUUUCUGUGGAAGGAGUUCAAAUUAUAUUACUAUAUGCAAGUACUUGAUCACUUCAAAUAAAGACGCAUAAUCUAUUCAAAGUAUUGGGGUGGCUCUACUUUAGAAUCCCACUUCUUCUUAACUUCCUUAUCGUUAUACAUAUCUUUGACAAGUAUUUUUGUUUGGGAUGUAAUUUAGGUUAUAUUCAAGUAAUUGUCCUUCUAAUUUGAACGAGUUUAUUUGAUUUUACAUAAUGUACUAUAACUUAAAGAAUGAGUCAGACCUCUCUAUAACAACAUCCCUAUAUAACAACAUUUCACUAUAAAAGCCAAGCUUUUCCGGAACCAAUUUUCAUGUUAUAUUAUACUAUAUGUUCUCUAUAACCGCACUUUGCUAUAACAUCCAAAACUAUUCGGAAAAAGGAGGUUGUUAUAGAGAAGUUUGACUAUACUUAAUUUUUAGAUGAUCAUUAUUUUCGCUGUAACAGUUGAUUAGUAUAACUGAUCAUGUGAGUGAUGUGCCUCCAAAAGAGAAGUACCGGGGUACCUUUUGUUUGUUGUUUCAAGUCUCGAAGAAGAUAUGGAUUCAAUUAGCUCACGAAAAUGAAAAUGAAUAACAUUCCUCUUCCUUGUUUAAUGGCGGUAACAGAUAGUGAUUAGCAUCAAAUGGCUAACAACCAAAUGAAUGCUUCACUGCUACUAUGGUAACACAUUCAUGGACACUGAGAAAUAAGAUAUUUUAUUGUAUAAGUGACUACUUCCUUCAAAAUAAGUUUCAUGAGGCAAUUAUUCCAAAAAGAUAUGGGCAAUUUGGAAGAAAGUGUGACUGUUGUGGUGCUCAGCCAGAAGAGAACUUCCCAGCUCUAUGGGAAUUGAAUUCAGACCAGUACUAUAUUUUUGGGAGGUGGUCAAGUCUAGCUGCAAAAUAUUCUAGGUUUGCAUGAUCUUAUAUGAGUGCAACUCUAUUGCCUCCCCUAUAUAGUUCUGUUUGUAGUAGAAAAUUUCAAUAAUUAAUUUUUUUUUGUUAUUGAAAUGUUUAUAUUUAUCGGUCUCGGUAAUUUCUUAGACAGAUUGUUAUGCUAUGCUUUUUGAGGUGGACUGCACGAGUAUAAAGAUGAAAAGAAGAAGAUGCAGACAGAUAUUAUAAAAUGGGAGAACGUAUAGGAGUCCGCUCUAAGCGAGCUGAUGAUGAGACCAACUUUUUGUUGGAGGUUUAAACGGAUGACUAAAUUCCAUUUCAUUCGAAAUGAACUACAUGACUCUCGCUAACUGCAUCAUUUUCUUUAGAUAAAUGAUUAUUAGCUUUUAGAGUGGAUUUUUCCUCGGCUCUAUUUAUUGUCGUGAUUGUUGUCUUAGUCAACAAGAUGGGAAACUUUCUAGAAAAAAACUUACAAACUGGGAGGAUGAUCCUCCCCGUGAACUGACUGGAUCCCCAAUUAACACGGGUGAACAAAUAGAGUAUAGUAGGAUGCUUGGGAAAAUCACUUACGUACUGCGACGUGCAAACCUACAGCGUGCCUGGUGAGUCACCAUUAAUAAUUGACUUAGAAAGGUGAACGCCUUGGCUAGAAAAGCGCGGUGAAUAAAUAUUUGGUAAACAACAUAUUCUUUUUGAAGGUAGAGGGACUUGAACCCUACAAUUUGGAAAGUCCUGAUUUCAGCUUCUUUACCUAGCUGAUUGUAUUUGUAAUAGCUUUUUUGUAUCCUUCCUAAUAAAUCCAAUGUUCUCAAAGGGACGUGUUUGUAAUAGUUUUGACUAAAACCAUAAAUGCUUCGCUUGAAUGGAUUAUUUAUAUUUGCAUUAUAUGUUGCAAAGUUUUUUGUGGUGUUUUUAAAUUAUUUUUAUUUCUUGUGCAUUUCGUGUGUUUGAAUCUAUCUGUUGACACUUCCUCAAUGCUGUUUGGUUGCUUUCUCUCUCAGCAAAUGUUAAUAUUUUUACUAUUUUUGUUGUGUCACUGACUUCUUCUGAGCACUUCCUGCAAAAAUUAAAAUUGCUUUGAGAACUCUAAAAGGACUGCAUAAAGGGAUUAUUUAGAGAUAAUCUUGGUCUUAACAAUGAGGAGGAGAUAUUUAAGCAAGAAGGUGGAUAUUUCAAGAGACCAACUGAUGAAGUGAUCACAAGGAGAAGAAUAGUUAAGUUCAUUGCCAUCAAAAGGCAUCAAUUACAACCGCUCCUUCAUCUAACCCUUCUUACAGGGAUCCACUCAGUUCCACCUACUGGUACCAUAUCACUUUAAAAGUGCAGUAAAAAGACGGACAAGCUAAGACUUAGCAAUUAUUUUCUCAAGAAUCUGGUGUCCCCUUGCUGAAGUAAGAAAAAAGAAAAAGAGAUCCAAUAUAUUCUAUUGUUGUUAGGUUCAUCGCUGUUACACUGUAAGUUUUGAUAUUUUAUGUCUCUUUUUUUCUUCCUCUAGUGGAAUCAGCCACUAAUGCUUCAUUUGAGAAUGUUGCUUACAUCACACUCCUUGGGUGCGAUUCUUCCCCUGACACUGCGUCAAUGCAGGAUGCUUUGUGCACUAGGUUGCUCUUUGUCUGCUUUCUUUUUUUUUGGGUCGUGCUGAUUGAUCUUUUUGGAGAUUCCAAAUCAAAAUGGUCCAUGGAUUGGUAAUAUCUUUUCAUAGAUGCACGACUUUGGAGAAUAAGAAUUUUCUUAUGUGACAGUUAGGUACAUGUCACAGAUUUAAACCUCGCCACGCCAUAGGCAAAAGCCUGGUAUUAAAGUGUAUAAGGGGGUGAUACUCAGACAUUAUGCAUAUCAAUGACAAGUAUCUCUGAAAUUGGGAUGUAAUUUUAGAUUAUAUUCAUUUGGUAUUUCGUUUGAAAUCAUACAUAUUUUUUUCUUAGUGAUUUUUGGUUGGUUGUUUUAAGUCUCAAAAAAGAUAUUGAUCCAGUUAGAUCGUAUAAAUAAAAGGAAAAAGAAUCAUAUUCCUUGUUUAAUGCUGGAUCAUAUCGAAAAUAGAUACUGAUUGGUGAUUGAGCUUUUCGACAUACACAAAUGGAUAUCAAAAUAGAAGAAGAUUAAUACUGUUGUGGUACUCGGCCAGGAGAGGAUUUGCCAGCUCUAUAGGAAAUGAAUUCAGACCAGCAUUAUACUUUUGGGAGGCAUGAAUCAAGUCUAGCUGCAGAAAACUCGAGGUUUGGGCCCGGGCUCAGCACGGGUCAUUUCUCACUAGUACUUAUAUAGAAGAGCGCAGAAGCAGCUCUCCGUCGACAUCCCUGCUUGCCAUAGAGGACAGCUUGGUCUUUUUACAAUUCUAUGCUAGGUAGAAUUUCUGUUGUGCCCCUAUGUCUACUCUUUUGUGCUGUUGGGUGAAGUUCUAAAUAGGAUAAGCUUUUGAAUAUUGUUAGAUUGCUGCGCCAGGGGGCUGCUGUUGAAUUCAGAUUUCCUCUCUCUCUUGGAACUUAUGUGCUAAUUUUCAGUUCAGUACAGUUGAGUAGAAACUAGGAAUUUAUUCAGCGAGCACCCUAUUUUCCUUGUCAAAUUUCUUUCUUCUCUAUGCCCCACCUAUGAGAUGGAUGGAGUUUCUAUUUUUCUCCUUAAUCAGAUGAAAUCAAAAUUUGGAUGUACGUAACUCGUGUUCUUCUGUAUUACAAAUCAAAUGGCAAAGUGGUUGUUAGAUCUAAUGAGAGGGAUCGGAGUAGUUAGUUAUCCAUUCUUUAGUUUGACCUUGUAAACAUGAUGGGUGCUCAAUAAUUUGAUCAUUAUAUAUACAACUAUUAAAUGUUGCAUAU